rnacentral:rRNA from 1 species
AGAGUUUGAUCCUGGCUCAGGAUGAACGCUAGCUACAGGCUUAACACAUGCAAGUCGAGGGGCAGCAUGGUCUUAGCUUGCUAAGGCCGAUGGCGACCGGCGCACGGGUGAGUAACACGUAUCCAACCUGCCGUCUACUCUUGGACAGCCUUCUGAAAGGAAGAUUAAUACAAGAUGGCAUCAUGAGUCCGCAUGUUCACAUGAUUAAAGGUAUUCCGGUAGACGAUGGGGAUGCGUUCCAUUAGAUAGUAGGCGGGGUAACGGCCCACCUAGUCUUCGAUGGAUAGGGGUUCUGAGAGGAAGGUCCCCCACAUUGGAACUGAGACACGGUCCAAACUCCUACGGGAGGCAGCAGUGAGGAAUAUUGGUCAAUGGACGAGAGUCUGAACCAGCCAAGUAGCGUGAAGGAUGACUGCCCUAUGGGUUGUAAACUUCUUUUAUACGGGAAUAAAGUGAGGCACGAGUGCCUUUUUGUAUGUACCGUAUGAAUAAGGAUCGGCUAACUCCGUGCCAGCAGCCGCGGUAAUACGGAGGAUCCGAGCGUUAUCCGGAUUUAUUGGGUUUAAAGGGAGCGUAGGCGGACGCUUAAGUCAGUUGUGAAAGUUUGCGGCUCAACCGUAAAAUUGCAGUUGAUACUGGGUGUCUUGAGUACAGUAGAGGCAGGCGGAAUUCGUGGUGUAGCGGUGAAAUGCUUAGAUAUCACGAAGAACUCCGAUUGCGAAGGCAGCCUGCUGGACUGUAACUGACGCUGAUGCUCGAAAGUGUGGGUAUCAAACAGGAUUAGAUACCCUGGUAGUCCACACAGUAAACGCUGAAUACUCGCUGUUUGCGAUAUACAUAAGCCGGCAAGCCGAAAGCGUUAAGUAUUCCACCUGGGGGAGUACGCCGGCAACGGUGAAACUCAAAGGAAUUGACGGGGGCCCGCACAAGCGGAGGAACAUGUGGUUUUAAUUCGAUGAUACGCGAGGAACCUUACCCGGGCUUGAAUUGCAACUGAAUGAUGUGGAGACAUGUCAGCCGCAAGGCAGUUGUGAAGGUGCUGCAUGGUUGUCGUCAGCUCGUGCCGUGAGGUGUCGGCUUAAGUGCCAUAACGAGCGCAACCCUUAUCGAUAGUUACCAUCAGGUUAUGCUGGGGACUCUGUCGAGACUGCCGUCGUAAGAUGUGAGGAAGGUGGGGAUGACGUCAAAUCAGCACGGCCCUUACGUCCGGGGCUACACACGUGUUACAAUGGGGGGUACAGAAGGCAGCUACACGGCGACGUGAUGCUAAUCCCGAAAGCCUCUCUCAGUUCGGAUUGGAGUCUGCAACCCGACUCCAUGAAGCUGGAUUCGCUAGUAAUCGCGCAUCAGCCACGGCGCGGUGAAUACGUUCCCGGGCCUUGCACUCACCGCCCGUCA